rnacentral:lncRNA from 1 species
CUAAAACAUCAUUUACCUUUUAAGAUCUUCAUUGAAUAUGAUUAAACUUGGACAAAAACCUUCUAUAACUAUGAGAGUAUUGAUUGUGACUAUAAUAAAAUAUUAAUUUACCCACUUACUUACUCACAAUCUAAUUUGCAUUACAAUCAACAAUAUAAAAACAUUUAAAAUCAUAUAAUCAUAUAAUCAAAACUUGCAAAAAAAUAUCUCAUGAAUUCUAUUCUCAUCUACAAUGUUAGAGAGUGUAGUUUGUAGAAUCUGCACAUAUACCAAGGUUAGCGACAACGGCUCUUUAGAGCCUCUUAUUGUUGGUCGUCGCUUAUUUUCCGGAAACAUAUUAAUUUUUAUACAUUUCAUUUGACUUGAUAGAUGAAACUUAAAACUUAAAGGCAACAGUAGUUAACGGUGUUUUAAAAGUCAUAAAUCGAUUGAUAGAAAACAAAUCUGGUUACAAACACAUCAACUUUAAGAGGAAACAAAGGAACAACAGGACCACUGACAAACACCAACAUACAUAGAAACGAGCUAUUUGAUAACAAUUGCCAUAUUCCUGACUUUUUUUAAGAAAAAUAGUGGAUUGAACCGGGUUUUAAAGCCAAACCUCCCGCUUUAAAUGACCAUCGCUAAAAUGACAACACUAAGUGAGAGAAAUACAGCUCAAACACACGCAAGAACACUCACCAUAGAGAAAUGCACAAACAAAUAGUAUAUUGUCGACUCAACAUGCAAACUGCAGAACAACAACGAACAUCUCCGAUCAACGACAUACUUCUGUCAUGCUAGUUGAUCACAUUACCAC